CCUACGGGAGGCAGCAGUGGGGAAUAUUGCACAAUGUGGGAACCACUGAUGCAGCGACGCCGCGCGAGUGAAGAAGUAUUUCGGAAUGUAAAGCUCUAUCAGCAGGGCAGAAAAUGACGGUACCUGAUUAAGAAGCCCCGGCUAACUACGUGCCAGCAGCCGCGGUAAUACGUAGGGGGCAAGCGUUAUCCGGAUUUACUGGGUGUAAGGGGAGCGUAGACGGCAGCACAAGUCUGGAGGGAAAUGCCGGGGCUUAACCCCGGAACUGCUUUGGAAACUGUGCAGCUAGAGUGCAGGAGAGGUAAGUGGAAUGCCUAGUGUAGCGGUGAAAUGCGUAGAUAUUAGGAGGAACACCAGUGGCGAAGGCGGCUUACUGGACUGUAACUGACGUUGAGGCUCGAAAGCGUGGGUAGCAAACAGGAUUAGAUACCCUUGUAGUC
rnacentral:rRNA from 1 species